rnacentral:rRNA from 1 species
CAUGCAAGUCGAACGGACCCUUCGGGGUUAGUGGCGGACGGGUGAGUAACACGUGGGAACGUGCCUUUAGGUUCGGAAUAGCUCCUGGAAACGGGUGGUAAUGCCGAAUGUGCCCUUCGGGGGAAAGAUUUAUCGCCUUUAGAGCGGCCCGCGUCUGAUUAGCUAGUUGGUGAGGUAAUGGCUCACCAAGGCGACGAUCAGUAGCUGGUCUGAGAGGAUGACCAGCCACAUUGGGACUGAGACACGGCCCAAACUCCUACGGGAGGCAGCAGUGGGGAAUCUUGCGCAAUGGGCGAAAGCCUGACGCAGCCAUGCCGCGUGGAUGAUGAAGGUCUUAGGAUUGUAAAAUCCUUUCACCGGUGAAGAUAAUGACUGUAGCCGGAGAAGAAGCCCCGGCUAACUUCGUGCCAGCAGCCGCGGUAAUACGAAGGGGGCUAGCGUUGCUCGGAAUUACUGGGCGUAAAGGGAGCGUAGGCGGACAUUUAAGUCAGGGGUGAAAUCCCGGAGCUCAACUUCGGAACUGCCUUUGAUACUGGGUGUCUUGAGUGUGAGAGAGGUAUGUGGAACUCCGAGUGUAGAGGUGAAAUUCGUAGAUAUUCGGAAGAACACCAGUGGCGAAGGCGACAUACUGGCUCAUUACUGACGCUGAGGCUCGAAAGCGUGGGGAGCAAACAGGAUUAGAUACCCUGGUAGUCCACGCCGUAAACGAUGAUUGCUAGUUGUCGGGGAGCUUGCUCUUCGGUGACGCAGCUAACGCAUUAAGCAAUCCGCCUGGGGAGUACGGUCGCAAGAUUAAAACUCAAAGGAAUUGACGG